GAUACUGUUCCAACACUGUUUUAAUUUAGUGAAGCAAUUUAGAAAACUUGUGCCAAGUACAAUUAACAUCAAACCAAAAAAAAGACAUACAUAACAUAAUGCGAUCCUGUCAUUCCUCGACACCUUCGUAAACCCGAGGGAGACCUCAGGUAACAUGGGGCAAGGGGUCGAGGAUGACAGGACCGCAGAGUACUCUCCAGCAGGUGCAGCAACGGAGGGGACAGAGGAGGCAGCAGGACCCUCACAUUCAGUCCCAGAACAAGAAUGUGAGGAGGAGGAAGAGGCAGCCACCCCAACUGCACUCUGGCAGCCACCCAUUGGAAUGAAGAGGACCUGCUCAUCGAAGUCCUGAGGAAGCAGCAGCAGCAGGUCCACCAACCUCAACCUCAACCCACCUGUGUCAGAGGAAGAAAUGUUCCUCAGGGGCCUGCUUCCUUCCCUGCAGAAAUUGUCGCCCCAAAGGAAGGAGUACGUUAAAAUUUCAUAUACAAAUUUAUUUUUGAGGCCAGCAUUGCUGAGCAGAAUCAGGAACCAAUUGGAUAGAGCACCUAGGGUGACAAUCUCUGCAGGGAAUGAAGCAGGUAUCCAGUUUUUAUUUCCCUAUUUCUAUUAUGGAAUGUGUGUAGUUAUUUUUCUUUUUCUGCACAAAAAUCAAAACUUGCUAUUGCACUUCCAUUUUUUCUUCCAUUUUAUUUAUUAUUAUAUGUGUGCCAAAUAAAAUUGACAGUUACUUUGUGAAAAUUACCCCUGUCCCGUUUCUUGUCUUACCUGAAAAUGGUGGUUACAGCCAGGUUUUGUUUGGUGUUUGUUGCUACAUGUUGUCAUACACGCAGUCACCGAACACUUAUUGCAUGUAGUUUAAUAAUGUAAGA